rnacentral:rRNA from 1 species
AACGAACGCUGGGUGGCGUGCCUAACACAUGCAAGUCGUACGAGAAAGCUCUUCGGAGUGAGUAGAGUGGCGCACGGGUGAGUAACACGUAGAUAACCUACCUCAAAGUCUGGGAUAACUCCGGGAAACUGGGGCUAAUACCGGAUAACAUCUAAUUAUUAAUUAGUUAGAUCAAAGGUGCCCUCUGUAUAUGGUAGUACUUUGAGAUGGGUCUGCGGUCCAUCAGGUUGUUGGUAGGGUAACGGCCUACCAAGCCUACGACGGAUAGCUGGUCUGAGAGGAUGAUCAGCCACACUGGAACUGAGACACGGUCCAG